rnacentral:misc_RNA from 1 species
GGAAGUAAAAGUCGUAACAAGAUUUCCGUAGGUGAACCUGCGGAAGGAUCAUUAACGAGUUAGGGUCUUUUAGGCCCGACCUCCCAACCCUAUGUUUACUGAACCUCUGUUGCUUCGGCGGACCCGUCUCACGGCCGCCGGAGGACCGCCGCGAGGCGUCCUCUGGCCAGCGUCCGCCGAUGGCCAACCCACUAAACUCUGAAUGAAUCGUGUCAUAUGUCUAAGUCUAUGAUUAAAUUAAAGCAAAACUUUCAACAACGGAUCUCUUGGUUCUG